rnacentral:rRNA from 1 species
CCAAUAGCGUAUAUUAAAGUUGUUGCAGUUAAAAAGCUCGUAGUUGAACUUCGGGGUUUACCCAUUGGUCAGGCUUAAUUGUCUGUACUGGUGAGAUAAAUCUCUACCUUCUGAGGAACUUUCAUGUCAUUAAUUUGGUGUGAUUGGAAAUCAGGACUGUUACUUUGAAAAAAUUAGAGUGUUUAAAGCAGGCUAACGUCUGAAUACAUUAGCAUGGAAUAAUGAAAUAGGACGGACUGAUUCUAUUUCGUUGGUUUCUAGGAUCACCGUAAUGAUUAAUAGGGAUUGUUGGGGGCAUUAGUAUUCAAUUGUCAGAGGUGAAAAUCUUGGAUUUAUUUAAGACUAACUACUGCGAAAGCAUUUGCCAAGGAUGUUUUCAUUAAUCAAGAACGAAAGUUAGGGGAUCGAAGACGAUCAGAUACCGUCGUAGUCUUAACCAUAAACUAUGCCGACUAGGGAUCGGACGAAGUUAAUUUUUUAAUGACGCGUUCGGCACCUUACG